rnacentral:rRNA from 1 species
GUAGGGGGCAAGCGUUGUCCGGAUUUAUUGGGCGUAAAGAGCGUGUAGGCGGCCAGACAAGUCCGUUGUGAAAACUAGAGGCUUAACCUCUAGACGUCGAUGGAAACUGUUUGGCUAGAGUCCGGAAGAGGAGAAUGGAAUUCCUGGUGUAGCGGUGAAAUGCGCAGAUAUCAGGAAGAACACCCGUGGCUAAGGCGGUUCUCUAGUACGGUACUGACGCUGAGACGCGAAAGCGUGGGGAGCGAACAGGAUUAGAUACCCUGGUAGUCCACGCCGUAAACGAUGGGUGCUAGGUGUGGGGGGUGUCGACUCCCUCCGUGCCGAAGCUAACGCAUUAAGCACCCCGCCUGGGGAGUACGGCCGCAAGGCUA